GCCGACGUAGCUCAACGGUAGAGCAGCUGAUUUGUAAUCAGCAGGUUGCCGGUUCGAAUCCGGCCGUCGGCUCCA
rnacentral:tRNA from 1 species